GUUGUUUCAUCCCACUUAUGCAUAAAAUCCAAGAAAUCUUUGCAAAACUUUUUGAACAAAGGAACAGUUUGUUAUACUAUACACUACCUUAUCUUACUGUGGGGUAUGCUGUUGCACCCGCACCCCUACUAGAGUUUGGACCCCGUCUUUCCUCUUUGACAUGUGUUCUAACUUUAAUCAUAAUAUCAAUUUCGUGCCUUUCCAACCAUCGAGUAAGAUGCUCAAACCCAAAGACGUACGACUCCAUAUAACUUUAAAGAACUUUAUUAUUAAAAAAAAGCACAACUUACAAAACAGGUUAAGCAACAGCAAUGUGUCCCCCUUCCAGUGACAAUUAUUUUUUCACAAGACACCUCGUCUAGAUGAAAUACUAAGACUUCCACAAACACCAACGUUACCAUCCAUUGGAACACCAGUCACUAACAAGAGCAGCAAUACGAAGGGGGGACACACCACACUGCUUAGCGGCCAAAACUUUAAACAACAGCUUAUUUGCAUAAUAUUAGAAAUUAGAAAAAUCAUACAAACAUCUUAUUAAUUAAAUAAUUGAAAAUAAUUUUCAUUAAGUAACUUAAAAUAAUUAACACAUUCUUUAAAUAACUUAAAAUAAUUAAUAUGUUCUUAAAUAAAAUUUUUCCAUCUACGGUCUUCAGUUUUCUACUCCAAUAUGUAAAUGACUUAAAAAAAUGGCGGUGCAGCAAUGCUCUCCUCACCACAGGUAACUCUAAAUCAAUUCUUCCCUCAAAAUGUUUCUUUCUCCCUUCGCCGGCUUGCACAAUCCUUACAUCUGUAAUUCAGAUAUUUCAUUGUUCGAAUAAUAUAAUUGAUUUGUGUGUGUGUGUGCACAUACAUAGAUAGUUCUCAACCUAU
rnacentral:lncRNA from 1 species